UAUAUUUUUAUGCCAUUUGGAAAUAACCUAUGGUUGAAAAAUGGCCAGAGGGAUAAGAUUCCCCAAUUUCUCCCGUCGCUUUGAGAAGGACGCCAUGGCGUGCUGGACGCCGGGAGGUGCGAACCGCCGCCGGGCCGAAGGCCGUGGACGUCGCGUUGCUGGAGGGCAUUGUGGCCGCGACCGCCGAAGAGCGCUUAGCCGGAUGGCCUCGGGCGCUUGAGGCCGCGUUCGUGCUGGCUCUGAGGACCACGCCGGAUGGCUGAGAUCGCCGCAUCUGGAGGCAGCGCCGGCCGCAUCGGGCUGCAGAGUUUGGAUUGGCCUCUGCCUCGCGCAGAGAAGAUGCAGUUUUGGAUAUUAAUUUUCAUCUUCUUGUCUCAACACUUCCUCUCAUCUUGCCUUGAUCUCUAUGUUUGCAGAUUUUCUGUUCGGAGUGAUGUCGUUCUCGCCUCUCGGAAGAAGCGUGCCUUUUUCUGACGCGGAAUUGCUUUGAGCGUUCGGUGCUGCGUCCUGCAGCCGACGGCCGGUAGCAGCGCUACGAGCGCUCGGGAGGGCGAAGCCGCGCAGGGUCGGGAGCCGUCGCGCGCUGGGAGUCACCGGACCGGUGGGGAGCCGUAUGCAGAAGGUUCCAUUGGAGGGCGCCACUGCGUCGUGCACAAAGAGCGCCGCUUCGAUCCUAAAAGUCGCGUUCUUCUCGCCAUUGUUGAAGCGGUUGCCGCUGAUGGGAUUACACAUCACCGUUCUCUUUUUUCUCUAUUUGGAAUGCUUGCUGAUUCAGGGAAAAUACAAUCGGUCAAUGAAUCAGUGAUGCUAAUCAUAAAUAGACAAUCAAGUUGGCUCUCUCUCGA